CUGAGAUGGAAGCCUGGGGACAGAAAGUGCCCAAUCCCGCUCAGAGCAAAGGCAGCAGAGCUCUUUUCUUUGGGGUGAUUGAGGAUCCCCACAAGGAGAAGUCAUCCCACCUGGGUCCUUUGAGAAGAGAAUCUUAGGCAGAGGGAGUAACUUAAACAGAGACAGCUCAGAGAGGCAUAGCCAGGGUGUGGUGAGAGACUACCCUCAGCCAGGCUGUGGGCAGCUGAGCCUGGGAGCAGUGGGGGUUGGAAGACCUUGACCAUGCUGGGAGAUCAAUCUUGACUACCAGAGCCUUUGGAGCAUGCUGUCUGCUUUUGCCACAAAAAGAAAAAGAAACUGAAGUUAUGGAAAAAGUAAGCUUC
rnacentral:lncRNA from 1 species